rnacentral:miRNA from 1 species
ACACACUCUCUUCAAAGCCGCUUCACUCUUUUUCUGUUCUUUUUUGUUUUUUGGGUAGUUUGGUUUUUCAGUUCUCUUUCUGGCUAGCUCUUUCUAGGGUUUUUGUACAUGUAGGGCAAAUUUUUAACAGCACAUAUACACAUGAAAUAGUAUUUGUGAUAUUGGCCUGGUUCACUCAGACAAGACUAUAUAUUUUUUCGAACUUUACUAUUUUUUUCUAGUUUGAUUGAGCCGUGCCAAUAUCUCCAUGCUUUUUCAUUAUUUGAUCUCCUUCAUUAGAGACUCUUGAAGAUGAUCUCAGUCUCAAAAGGUUUGUUUUUCUCGACUACCAAGUAUUUUCUAUAUAUGUGUAUCAUAUAUGAAUACCAAUAGAUGCAUUAAUUUGUUUAUAUAUAAGUGUGUGUGAGUAUACAUAGAUAUUCACUGACUUAAUACUGCAUGUACGUAGUCACCGCUAUUCCAGGGAUAGGUUUGUCUUUACACCAUGAAGAGAGGACUCUAUUGAUAUUGGUAUCAAAACAUUCCGAUAUAUAGAAAUUUGUUGCAGAAAAAAAAAAAAAAAAAAAAAAAAAAA